UACGUAGGGGGCAAGCGUUGUCCGGAUUUAUUGGGCGUAAAGAGCGUGUAGGCGGCCAUACAGGUCAGCUGUGAAAACUCGAGGCUCAACCUCGAGACGUCGGUUGAAACCGUAUGGCUAGAGUCCGGAAGAGGAGAGUGGAAUUCCCGGUGUAGCGGUGAAAUGCGUAGAUAUCAGGAGGAACACCGGUGGCGAAGGCGGCUAUCUGGACAGAGUCUGACGCUGAUGCGCGAAAGCUAGGGAGCAAACAGG
rnacentral:rRNA from 1 species